AUGACUUUCACAUAUUACAAAUUCUGUGAUAUUGAAGUAAUGUUUAAAAAUGAAACCUUUAAUUAGAAAUGCAUAACAUAACAGAAGCGCACGUUUGCGCGUGGAUUUAUUUCCGACGUGCGUAAAAAGCAUCAUUCAAACCUGCUCAGAGACUCUGACGUUAACACGCGCGCACGCCGCCAUCGAAACGUCCGAACUUAAGUAGUAAUAAUAAGGAAAAACUCGACCGGCGCUAUAAAAGCAGCGCGCGACACGAGGAGACAAGUUAGUUAAACGUUCACGUUCACGUUCAACGCUGCCACCAAGCUAACAGCAAGAGAGAUAAUUAAACACAACCGUUAUACAACAUAAACUAUAUAAAGUUUAAAACAAAAACUUGAGUUAAAAGUUGAGUUAAGUUAAAGUGCUACAAGUUUGAUAAAAAUUUGGAAAAUGUAUACCAAUCCAUUCAACCGCAAGCACUGCACGAUCAGGCAGAUGAUCGACAAAUUCCUGCAUCCGGAUUUCAACAAUAAUCGUCCGUGUGCAGUGAAAAACAAGAGCAAAUCAGUGACAUCGCUUUCGUCUACUGGUUCAUCCGACAGCACGGCGAGUUGUUCCAGCUCAAGAUCAAGCUCGAGCAGUAAAAUGUCAAUCUUCUCCUCGAUGCGUCGCAACAGGAGCCAAAUCUACGGCAUUAAAUAACUCCAGCGUGAUUUUCUAAAGUUUAAUGAAUAACUUUGAGGAAAAGUAAAGUACGCAUAUGUUUGCAUCGUUGUUAUUUGUGUGUUGAGACUACAAAUGACUAUCACUAUGGAAUGACAUCUCAUAGAUGAUGAAACGUCAAUUCAAGAUGAGAAAAAACUGGGAAUUCACAGCUGCAUUAACUUCAAGAUAAAUGCAGAAAAACACUGAUCCGGAUUGGAUUUUCUCUUGAAUGUCAAAGUAAACAAUGAAUUCUUGUAAAUUUGUAACUUCUAUGAAGUCUAUGAAGUUUAUACAGUAAUAAAUGAAUUUAUAUUGAA